CUGAUCGACGGGGGGACAAUUUCUCCCGAAAAAACUAUUUUGACUGCCGACGCCUUCAUUAAAGGGAUCAUUGAAUUUUCCGUCAGCAGUCCGGUACGGAUAAUUAGCAGGAUCAAACCGGAUCCCAGUCGGAGUUUGACCGACGUUGAGAAGAUUGUAUUGUUGGUGAAGAUGUCUUCGUACUUCAAGAUAGGUUAACCCCAAGAAUACUGGAAGCUUAUGCCAUGGAACCAUCUUAUCCACUCCAUGCACG
rnacentral:sRNA from 1 species